AGCCGCGGUAAUUCCAGCUCCAAUAGCGUAUACUAAAGUUGUUGCGGUUAAAAAGCUCGUAGUUGGAUCUUGGAAUGUGUUCAAGCGGGUCAGCUUCUGGCUGUGCGCUGCUUGACGUGUUCUUCUAUUUGGUUUUGGUGCGGUGCGCUUAACUGCGUGUCGCUCCCGGCCGAAACGUUUACCUUGAAAAAAUUAGAGUGUUCAAAGCAGACCUGUUUGAGUCUGAAUAUUCGUGCAUGGAAUAAUGAAAUAUGAAUUCGGUUCUAUUUUGUUGGUUUUCGGAACUCGAGUUAAUGAUCAAGAGGGACAGACGGGGGCAUUCGUACUCUGCCGUUAGAGGUGAAAUUCUUGGAUCGGCGGAAGACGCGCAACUGCGAAAGCAUUUGCCAAGAAUGUUUUCUUUAAUCAAGAACGAUAGUCGGAGGUUCGAAGACGAUCAGAUACCGUCCUAGUUUCGACUGUAAACUAUGCCAGCUAACGAUCAGACAGAGUUCUCUACGACUUGUCUGGCAGUUUCCGGGAAACCAAAGCGUUUGGGUUCCGGGGGAAGUAUGGUUGCAAAGCUGAAACUUAAAGGAAUUGACGGAAGGGCACCACCAGGAGUGGAGCCUGCGGCUUAAUUUGACUCAACACGGGGAAACUCACCCGGCCCGGGCACAGUGAGGAUUGACAGAUUGAGAGUUCUUUCUUGAUUCUGUGGGUGGUGGUGCAUGGCCGUUCUUAGUUGGUGGAGCGAUUUGUCUGGUUAAUUCCGAUAACGAACGAGACUCUGGCAUGUUAAAUAGUCGCGGAAGUGCGUAUGCACUUGCCGAAUUGACUUCUUAGAGGGACUAGUGAUUUUAAUUCACACGAGAUUGAGCAAUAACAGGUCUGUGAUG
rnacentral:rRNA from 1 species